UACCGGCUCAUCGCGGCCGAUGCUAUCGCCUUCCCCCGCCUCCUCCGCUCUGUCGCCUUCCGGCCCGUUUGCGACAGACGUCAUCAACUCGGUCGCACUGCAACGGUGAAUCGGUGCUGCAGACGCGCUCCGGCUCCCCUAUGUCCAUUACGUGAGCCAUUGUUUCUAUCUGAUUGGCCCAAAACCCUCUUGUUUAUCUAUCUCUUGCCUUCUUCUCAGGUUCCUUUCUAGAGAGCCAAGGCGCCGUUCCAGGAUACUGGAUGGUAACCAUAUCUUCGAUUUCGCCAUUCUUGUUUCCUCUAAAACUUUAUCUUGGUUUGAUCAGGAAAAACGGAAUCUUUUAUAGCAAGUUUUAGUAAAUGUGAACCUGUUCACAAGGUGUUGGAUUUGAGAUAUUGAAGGAUGGAGCAGUUUUUUAUAUGUUUAGUUUCUUAGAUGCUCGACAUCUAUGAUAAAGCAAAUUUGGGGACAAAAACACGUUGGUUUAUGUGCGCUCUAAGUUCGUGGAGGAAACGUCAAGAUGAAUUGCUUGUGGAUCCUCGAUUCUUCUGCAGCGUUCAGUGAAGAAAAUAAUAGUAAGAUGUUGAUACAGAUAAUGCAAGAUGUGGACAACCCAUUUUGAUGCCGCUCGACGUCACCUUAUCACCAACCACAUCAUCUGCCACAUUACCACCAAAUCCAUGCUUGGAUAGUGUUAUCCUAAUUGCACGUGGAUAGGAUCCUUGUAGGGGUUCGUGAGGUUGGUCAUAAGGAUUGGAUUGACCUCAACGGUAAUCUCUUGUUUGAUUCUCAAGGAGGAAGAGCCACAAAACAGGACUUGGUUGGAUCAACCCUAUCCCUCUCAAUUGACAAUGACAAUCAGAAUCAUCAUUAACAACUGAUAAGUAAAAAGAAUAAGUUUAUAACAAUGAUAUUAAUUACUAUUCUACCGCUUGUGUUAUACCAUUUGAUCCCAGUAUUGUUAGUUUAAUGCAGGUGGAGUCAGCCAGAAGUUUUGAUCCAAUCAAGGAGUUCAUUUUACUUCUUUGCUCGGUGUUGCAAGAGGCUCUCUGAUCUCCUCAGAUACCUGAUCAUAUCUUAGAAAAUAAUGUUGAAGUGGAGAUACAAGGGACCAUAGACGUUGUCUUGUUCAGCUAAUGCAUGUGGAGUAGCGAGUACCAAACAAGCCAAAUUUCCUCGGAAAUGAACUACCAAGUGACUGAAUACCCCUUUUCCUCUCUUUUUUGUUUUCUGUGUAAUUUUCACUGUCAGUUUUGGGCCAAAUAAUUUUGUUACACAAUCGAUCAUUUUCAUAGUGUCUAAUAUGGGAUAUGAAGAUGAUUAAUAUAGUCUUGUCUUACCUAUAUAAAGGGGCGAUGCACAAGCUAUUAU